UGCAGUCGAGCGAAUCUUGAGGUGCUUGCACCUCUUGGUUAGCGGCGGACGGGUGAGUAACACGUGGGCAACCUGCCUGUAAGACUGGGAUAACUUCGGGAAACCGGAGCUAAUACCGGAUAAUCCUUUCCCUCUCAUGAGGGAAAGCUGAAAGUCGGUUUCGGCUGACACUUACAGAUGGGCCCGCGGCGCAUUAGCUAGUUGGUGAGGUAACGGCUCACCAAGGCGACGAUGCGUAGCCGACCUGAGAGGGUGAUCGGCCACACUGGGACUGAGACACGGCCCAGACUCCUACGGGAGGCAGCAGUAGGGAAUCUUCCGCAAUGGACGAAAGUCUGACGGAGCAACGCCGCGUGAGCGAUGAAGGCCUUCGGGUCGUAAAGCUCUGUUGUUAGGGAAGAACAAGUAUCGGAGUAACUGCCGGUACCUUGACGGUACCUAACCAGAAAGCCACGGCUAACUACGUGCCAGCAGCCGCGGUAAUACGUAGGUGGCAAGCGUUGUCCGGAAUUAUUGGGCGUAAAGCGCGCGCAGGCGGUCCUUUAAGUCUGAUGUGAAAGCCCACGGCUCAACCGUGGAGGGUCAUUGGAAACUGGGGGACUUGAGUGCAGAAGAGGAAAGCGGAAUUCCACGUGUAGCGGUGAAAUGCGUAGAGAUGUGGAGGAACACCAGUGGCGAAGGCGGCUUUCUGGUCUGUAACUGACGCUGAGGCGCGAA
rnacentral:rRNA from 1 species